rnacentral:lncRNA from 1 species
AUGUGGGUAGCACCUUGCGCUCACUUAUAAACCGAGCCAGCGAGCAUUUAGGCCAGUCUGCCAGAACAGGGCGCCCGCUACACAACGCCCCAUUUUCCGCGAUACGGGACCACUGCCUCUCAUACCACUGAUGAUGACAUAAGAUGAAAUGUCGAAACGUUUGGCCCAUUAAAGAUGCUGCUCGUA